UACCAGCACCCCGAGUGGUCGGGACGUUUAUUGGGCCUAAAGCAUCCGUGGCCGGUUCUACAAGUCUUCCGUUAAAUCCACCUGCUUAACAGAUGGGCUGCGGAAGAUACUAUAGAGCUUGGAGGCGGGAGAGGCAAGCGGUACUCGAUGGGUAGGGGUAAAAUCCGUUGAUCCAUUGAAGACCACCAGUGGCGAAGGCGGCUUGCCAGAACGCGCUCGACGGUGAGGGAUGAAAGCUGGGGGAGCAAACCGG
rnacentral:rRNA from 1 species